rnacentral:lncRNA from 1 species
UUGAAUUGUAUGUUGGUUAGGGUAACUUUUUUUUUUUUGUUUAGAGAAUUGGAGAAUUUAUUGGUUAGGGCAACUUCUGAAUAGAGAGAAUUGGGGAAUUUAUUAGGAUUUAAUAUUUUUAUUUCCUCAACUGGAAUUAAUUGAGCUCAUGAUGAUUUUGUGUUAUGAGAUGUUAUAUUUUUUAAACAUUUCAGCAACCAUAACUUGAGAAUAUGAAUGGCGUCUUAUGAUAACUCACAAAUCAUAAUUUCAAAAUUUGAAAAUAUGAAUGGCAAUAUUUGAAAUCACAUUUUCAGCAUUUCAAAACUUAUAAGAUGGCACGAUUUUUUAAUUUC